rnacentral:misc_RNA from 1 species
UUAACUUAUUACAAUAUUACUCAGACAACACAAAAAUCAAGAGUUUAGGGUCCUCUGGCAGGCACGGACCAGCCUAAGCCAGUGGUCAUAAGACGGGCCUGCCAAAGCAACAAAGGUAAUGUAAACAAAGGGUGGGAGAUCUACCCCAAAGGGCAAUUUCUCUGUAAUGAUCCUUCCGCAGGUUCACCUACGGAAA